CCAGAGGGUCGGGCGGCCGCGGCUUCUCCUUUAUGGGGGAAGGCGAGGAAAGUCCGGGCUCCAUGGAACGACGGUGCCGGGUAACGCCCGGCGGGGGCGACCCCAGGGACAGUGCCACAGAGAGCAGACCGCCUAAUCCUUUCGGGGACGAAGCCUUCGGGCGGGCAAGGGUGAAAGGGUGCGGCAAGAGCGCACCGCGCGUCCGGUAACGGAGGCGGCAUGGUAAACCCCACCGGGAGCAAGAUCGAAUAGGGACGGCAUAUGGGCCUCGUUCCGGCUCGUCGUCCGGGUUGAUUGCUGGAGGCGGCGCGCAAGCGUCGUCGUAGAGGAAUGGUCGCCUAUCCCGCGUUCGCGCGGGUGGACAGAACCCGGCUUACAGACCCUCUGGCGCG
rfam:Sphingomonas sp. Leaf343 contig_6, whole genome shotgun sequence.